AGGCCACAAAAGAGAUGAAUGAAACGAAUGACUAGUAUCACAAGAUAGAAUACCAGAUAUGCAAUUCCGAGGACGGAAUUUUUAUAAGGAGGGAGGAAUGUAAUACCCCGUUUCCCUGAGUUAAAUUUAGAAUUUAUUUUCGAAAUUUAGAAGUAAGAUGAUUCACGCCGGAUAUAAAGAAAAUGAAUUUAUUUUUAAUUCCAACAAAAAUAAAUAUGAUUUACAAAAACAUUUGUAAAUUUAGUUAUUGAAUUUAUAUGCAUUGCAUAUUUAUUUAAUUUAGCUUUCAAAUAUUUUCACGAACUAUUUAUUUAAGCGAACACUGAACGAUUAUUACAGUUUUCAUAGUACAACCCGGAAGAUUUUUAUUUUAUUUUAUUUUAUUCUCACCUACUUCUCUCCCUCACCUAACACACACCCACCUACCCACCUACUCCCUCCUUUUUGCAAAGUUAACAUCACUAAGACACUACCCACUCCCACCACCAACUCCCUGCAAAAAGCAUGCCUACUGCAGCACACCCACUGAUAUACUUCACCCAUCCCCUUCCACUUCUACUCAAUCUCCCACACAAUUUGCCAUAUUUCACUCUCACAAGGAAACCCAACGAACAAGUGCAGAGGCUUUGAGCAUCAUGAGGAUUAGCACUGCUAUUCCGAUUCAGAGAUAACGUUAAACGACAGGCAUUGCCUAUACAGGUUGAGCAGUUGAUGGAAUGGAAUGAUGUUGAGCGGGUGUUCCUUUGACAUUUCAAGAAAUGUAACCUUGAGUAUACAUCUUCAUAUGUAUAUCUCACACGUUUUCCGCUGCAAAACACUUUGAUUAGGAUAACUUUAUGUUAUGAAAUUGUGACACGUGUUAUUGGGUAAACCACCUUAAUCAGUUCUCUUUUAUGUGUAUGUUUUAUAAGUAUCCAAAUGAUCAUAUAUGAUCCUAGCUUUUUAUCUAUAAGUGACAUUUUCAUAUACUUUAAUGUUAAGUAAUUGUCCAUUUCCA